CCAACCACCGAUACACCCAAACGCCACCGCAACGAGUGCUUCCCUGCUGCCAGCAGGGCCCUGCUUUUCACCCUGUGUUCAGAUGAGCAGCUUCCCAGCGUUCCUCAGCCACUUUGUACCGGAGCUACCUCCUUUGCAUCAUGAGCAUCUUCCAGGGCAGAGAGCUGGCCGCUCACCUUCUCCAGACAAGAGCGGUUUGUGCUUCGGACAGUAGGCAAUGAAGAAACCGGAGGCUGUUUAAAUGUGUCAAUUCACCUUUAAUGUUUGAAAAAAAUAAAUGGUAUUUGAGCCAUUGCA